rnacentral:rRNA from 1 species
GUCUACGGCCACGCCACCCUGAACACGUCCGAUCCCGUCUGAGCUCGGAAGCUAAGCAGGGUGGGGCCUGGUGAGUAGUUGGAUGGGAGACCACCUAGGACUCGUGAAAAAUAAAAAAUAAGGGAUUGUAAGCU